rnacentral:lncRNA from 1 species
AACUGAAAACUGAGCAAAGAAAACAGCAAGGUUGUGAUUGAACAGUUUUCAGUUUUCACAUAAAAAUAUAGGAACGGCAAAAAUAAAACGCAUUAAAACUACUGUUAUGAGGGUUAUGGGUUAGUGAGCCGGCCUUUGUUGCCCACUAAAAAAAAAAGAAAAGGUUUGUUAAACAGAGAAAAUAGUAAUAAUAAGGCUUGGGCUUUCUGGAUUUUAGGGUUUGUUUAAUCUCCUCAACCA